CCUGGGCUGGUGGAAGGUGUCCCUGCCCAUGGCAGGGGGUGGAAUUGGAUCAUCUUUAAGAUCCCUCCCAACCCAAACCAUUCCAUGAUUCUUUAAGUUCAGUCCAGUGGCAGAAAGGAGGUUGCUGAGAUCACCAAAGGGAGGUUGUUGUGGUCACCCAAGUGAGGUUGUUGUGGUCACAAAAGGGAGGUUGUUGUGGUCACCCAAGUGAGGUUGUUGUGGUCUCCCAAGCGAGAGUGAUGUGGUCACCCAAGUGAGGCUGUUGUGGUAACCCAAGUGAGGUUUUUGUGGUCACCCAAGGGAGGUUAAUGGCCACCACACUCCCAGGCCUGUGGGUCACCACAGCCUCCUUCCUGCUAAAGCCCUUUGCCCCUUUUAGCCACCAGUAUUUCAAACCACUCACUUUUGAAACUAAAAGAUCAGGGAUUCCCAAGAAUCCCAGAGUUGGGCAUCCCUCAGCCUGGAGAUCAGAACAUUUUUUACGUCUCCCCGUCCACUUUCUCCACACUUCUCCUUAAGUUGAAGCUCAGUUUUGCUCUCCCUGGUGUGAAGGGGGUGAGGAACUACAGGACUGGUCACCACACUCCCCCAGUGUCUUACUGACACUUUGCUGGGAUUUCCCACUGUCUCCCUCGUGGUGAUUUCAAGCAACUAAACUUUGGAGUCCAACCUCUCUGUGCACGUCAAGCACAGCACAAAGCAUCACCCCCUCGAGGGAGGAAACACCAAGUUCAUUAUCCCUGGCAAUUAAUCUGGGCAAUCACUGUGGGAUUCAGUGUUUGUGUAAACCACAGUUUACCCAAAUCUAUAUUUUUGUAGCCACCCCACAACCCACCAAGGACAAGCAAAGACCUUCAAGGUGGUGAAAAUGCCCUCAUGUUGUUCCUGUUGUGUCUUAAGAGCACUCAGCAGGCAGAAAAAGGGCAUUUGGAGAGAACAUUUCCCCCAUCCACAUCUCCAAAUCAGAGUUUAUAAGUAUAUAUUUAUGUAUGUAUAUAUAAAAUAUAUGUAUUUAUAUAGUUUUAUCACCCCGGGAGCUGGGUGGGAU